GACGAACGCUGGCGGCGUGCCUAAUACAUGCAAGUAGAACGCUGAAGGAAGGAGCUUGCUCUUUCUGGAUGAGUUGCGAACGGGUGAGUAACGCGUAGGUAACCUGCCUGGUAGCGGGGGAUAACUAUUGGAAACGAUAGCUAAUACCGCAUAAAAUUGAUUAUUGCAUGAUAGUCAAUUAAAAGGUGCUACUGCACCACUACCAGAUGGACCUGCGUUGUAUUAGCUAGUUGGUGGGGUAACGGCUUACCAAGGCGACGAUACAUAGCCGACCUGAGAGGGGGAUCGGCCAACAUGGGACUGGGACCAGGCCCAGAAUCCUACGGGAGGCAGCAGUAGGGAAUCGUCGGCAAAGGACGGAAGUCGGACCGAGAAAAGGCGAGUGAGUGAAGAAGGUUUUCGGGUCGUAAAGCUCUGUUGUAAGAGAAGAACGAGUGUGAGAGUGGAAAGUUCACACUGUGACGGUAUCUUACCAGAAAGGGACGGCUAACUACGUG
rnacentral:rRNA from 1 species